UCACAGGGGAGUCUGAGGGGACGAGGUGCUGGCUGGCAAGGGACCUUUCCCCAUCACUGAGCAUCGAGCGUAGCCAAGAGGAGAAAGGGGAGGAUGGAACUGCACGAGGAAAACACGGUGCUGUCAGGAGGCUGCAAAGCGGUGAUGAAAUCAGGAUAAUGAGGAAUGUCGGGGACUCUGGGUUGUCARGGGCGGUUCGAGGGGCCGGAGUGAUGGCGGGCACGGCCACGUGGGGCAGUGGGAGAUGCCCCCAUCCCCACGGUGGGGAAAAUGGUCCCCAGGGGCUCAUGGCGAGGGGUCACGCAAUGCCAUGUGCCUGGUCCCUCGCUUGGGAGGUUCCUACGCAGGUGAAAAUGAAAAGGAGGGGAGUGAGAGAAAGAGAGAAGAGGAGGAGGAGGAGGAGGGUGUCCAGGCACCCGUGGGUGCUCUCAGGAGCAGGAGGUGCUGGGGAAGGAAGGCUGSAGCCAUCCUCAUUCUGCCUGUCCCACCUGGGCUUGCAGCAAGUCCCACCACUGCUUUCCCACCAUGGUGAGCUGGGGGAUGGAGACCUGGCUCUGCAUGAGCCGCAAUCCCUGCCAUGCGCAGAGCCCCCAAGCCUGGCUCCCCAUGUGGGCACACAAAAUGGGAUUGGGAAGAAAUCCCUCAUCCCCGGGGCUUGUGUGGCCCUGUCCCCCCCUCAUCCUCCCUCGCUGCCCCCAUCCAGACCAGCACACACCACUAGUCCAUCCAGGGCUGCAGCCUGGCACAGAGCAGCUCCGCGGGGUGCCGGGGCUCCCUGGCAACCCUCCGCCCCCMCCUCAGAUUUAGCUACUGACCGCAAGCAAAACCUGCCCCGCUUUUCGGCUACGCUGCCUGAGCCACCUACCAUAGGAGCAACRACCCGGUGGUGCUUCCCUUAUCCCGUAAGCCCGUAGUGAUGAGCGCGUGGGAUGCCACCAGGAUGACGUCCCUCUCACCCCCUGGCUCGGGUGCUCAGCGUGCUUUGCAGAUGCUAACUCCAGAAAGCUCAUCCCUGGGUGCAAGGGGUGUUACUGGGGGAGACCCAGGUCCUGCCCAGCUUUGGCCUCUGGGGCUCAGCCCCACUCAAGGGUGUCCUGCAAGAGCCCUGCAGGUGGUACUCACUGCCAUGGGGUCCCUGCAAUGGUCAGGCUGGAGAUGGCUCGGGGCCAGGGGGCUCAGCCAGUCCCCCGUGUCCUGCGUCCUGGGAUGAGCCAGGCUGCGCGUAAGCAGCCUCCAGCUGAAGCACUUGCAGUACACAUCGCUACUGAACCAAUGUACUAACGUCCGCGGCAGCAUGAGACGAGAAAUAAAGCUAACGCAAGCGCUGCGCUUCGAUGGUUG
rnacentral:lncRNA from 1 species